GACGUAGGGCGCGAGCGUUGUCCGGAUUUAUUGGGCGUAAAGGGCUCGUAGGCGGCUCGUCGCGUCUGCCGUGAAAGGCCAUGGCUUAACUGUGGUUUUGCGGUGGAUACGGGCGGGCUUGAGGCAAGUAGGGGAGACUGGAAUUCUACGUGUAGCGGUGAAAUGCGCAGAUAUGUGGAGGAACACCGGUGGCGAAGGCGGGUCUCUGGGCUUGUACUGACGCUGAGGAGCGAAAGCGUGGGGAGCGAACAGG
rnacentral:misc_RNA from 1 species